rnacentral:misc_RNA from 1 species
AAAGUCGUAACAAGGUUUCCGUAGGUGAACCUGCGGAAGGAUCAUUACCGAGAUAGGGUGUCAGCCUCCGGGCGCGCCCGACCUCCAACCCUUUGCUUACUUGACCUUUUGUUGCUUCGGCAGGCCCGUUCCCCUGUAAAGGGGGGACCGCCGGGGGUGCCUCACCGCCCCCUGGCCCGCCGCCUGCCGAUGGCCCAUUAUUAAACACUUGUCUCAAAAACGUGUCGUCUGAAUAUUUGUUAUAAACUAAUAACUAAAAACUUUCAACAACGGAUCUCUUGGUUCUG